rnacentral:rRNA from 1 species
GACGAACCGUGCGAACGUUAUUCGGAAUCACUGGGCUUAAAGCGCGUGUAGGCGGAUUGGAACGUCGGCGCCUGAAAUCCCCCGGCUCAACCGGGGAACGCGGCCCGAAACGACCAGUCUGGAGGGACGUAGGGGGGACUGGAACUUCCGGUGGAGCGGUGAAAUGCGUUGAGAUCGGAAGGAACGCCCGUGGCGAAAGCGAGUCCCUGGACGUCUACUGACGCUGAGACGCGAAAGCUAGGGGAGCGAACGAGGA